rnacentral:tRNA from 1 species
GGGACUAUAGUUAAUAAUAACAUUUGAGUUGCAUUCAAAAAGUACUACCCGUAGUAGUUAGCCUCA